rnacentral:rRNA from 1 species
GACAGAGGGUGCAAACGUUGUUCGGAAUUACUGGGCGUAAAGCGCGUGUAGGCGGCUAAGUAAGUCGGGCGUGAAAUCCCACGGCUCAACCGUGGAAGUGCACUCGAAACUGCAUAGCUAGAGUCCUGGAGAGGAAGGUGGAAUGCUUGGUGUAGAGGUGAAAUUCGUAGAUAUCAAGCGGAACACCGGUGGCGAAGGCGGCCUUACUGGACAGUGACUGACGCUGAGACGCGAAAGCGUGGGGAGCAAACAGGAUUAGAAACCCCUG